UACAGAGGGGGCGAGCGUUGUUCGGAAUUACUGGGCGUAAAGGGCGCGUAGGCGGCCUUCUAAGUCGAACGUGAAAUCCCCGGGCUCAACCCGGGAACUGCGUCCGAUACUGGGAGGCUUGAAUCCGGGAGAGGGAUGUGGAAUUCCAGGUGUAGCGGUGAAAUGCGCAGAUAUCGGGAGGAACACCAGUAGCGAAGGCGGCUCGCUGGGCCGUUCCUGACGCUGAGACGCGAAAGCUAGGGGAGCGAACAGG
rnacentral:rRNA from 1 species